rnacentral:tRNA from 1 species
GGACUGUGGCUCAGUGGCAGAGCACUUGCCUCGAACGAAUGAGGCACUAGGUUCAAUUCUAAGCACCA